GUGCAGUGAUGAGAAUUAGGGUGGGAACCUGUGUCCUGGUCACCAUCAGUGAUAUCUGCUGAGCAUCU